rnacentral:rRNA from 1 species
GAACCUGAAACCGUGUACGUACAAGCAGUGGGAGCCUCUUUAUGGGGUGACUGCGUACCUUUUGUAUAAUGGGUCAGCGACUUAUAUUCUGUAGCAAGGUUAACCGAAUAGGGGAGCCGAAGGGAAACCGAGUCUUAACUGGGCGUUAAGUUGCAGGGUAUAGACCCGAAACCCGGUGAUCUAGCCAUGGGCAGGUUGAAGGUUGGGUAACACUAACUGGAGGACCGAACCGACUAAUGUUGAAAAAUUAGCGGAUGACUUGUGGCUGGGGGUGAAAGGCCAAUCAAACCGGGAGAUAGCUGGUUCUCCCCGAAAGCUAUUUAGGUAGCGCCUCGUGAAUUCAUCUCCGGGGGUAGAGCACUGUUUCGGCAAGGGGGUCAUCCCGACUUACCAACCCGAUGCAAACUGCGAAUACCGGAGAAUGUUAUCACGGGAGACACACGGCGGGUGCUAACGUCCGUCGUGAAGAGGGAAACAACCCAGACCGCCAGCUAAGGUCCCAAAGUCAUGGUUAAGUGGGAAACGAUGUGGGAAGGCCCAGACAGCCAGGAUGUUGGCUUAGAAGCAGCCAUCAUUUAAAGAAAGCGUAAUAGCUCACUGGUCGAGUCGGCCUGCGCGGAAGAUGUAACGGGGCUAAACCAUGCACCGAAGCUGCGGCAGCGACACUAUGUGUUGUUGGGUAGGGGAGCGUUCUGUAAGCCUGUGAAGGUGUACUGUGAGGUAUGCUGGAGGUAUCAGAAGUGCGAAUGCUGACAUAAGUAACGAUAAAGCGGGUGAAAAGCCCGCUCGCCGGAAGACCAAGGGUUCCUGUCCAACGUUAAUCGGGGCAGGGUGAGUCGACCCCUAAGGCGAGGCCGAAAGGCGUAGUCGAUGGGAAACAGGUUAAUAUUCCUGUACUUGGUGUUACUGCGAAGGGGGGACGGAGAAGGCUAUGUUGGCCGGGCGACGGUUGUCCCGGUUUAAGCGUGUAGGCUGGUUUUCCAGGCAAAUCCGGAAAAUCAAGGCUGAGGCGUGAUGACGAGGCACUACGGUGCUGAAGCAACAAAUGCCCUGCUUCCAGGAAAAGCCUCUAAGCAUCAGGUAACAUCAAAUCGUACCCCAAACCGACACAGGUGGUCAGGUAGAGAAUACCAAGGCGCUUGAGAGAACUCGGGUGAAGGAACUAGGCAAAAUGGUGCCGUAACUUCGGGAGAAGGCACGCUGAUAUGUAGGUGAAGCGACUUGCUCGUGGAGCUGAAAUCAGUCGAAGAUACCAGCUGGCUGCAACUGUUUAUUAAAAACACAGCACUGUGCAAACACGAAAGUGGACGUAUACGGUGUGACGCCUGCCCGGUGCCGGAAGGUUAAUUGAUGGGGUUAGCG